UACGUAGGUGGCAAGCGUUAUCCGGAUUUAUUGGGUGUAAAGGGCGUGUAGGCGGGAGCGCAAGUCAGAUGUGAAAACUCAGGGCUCAACCCUGAGCCUGCAUUUGAAACUGUGUUUCCUGAGUGCUGGAGAGGCAAUCGGAAUUCCGUGUGUAGCGGUGAAAUGCGUAGAUAUACGGAGGAACACCAGUGGCGAAGGCGGAUUGCUGGACAGUAACUGACGCUGAGGCGCGAAAGCGUGGGGAGCAAACAGG
rnacentral:rRNA from 1 species